AAAAGCUUUCUUUAAUUAAAUAAUUGAAUUUAAUUUUUUAGUGCAAAAGCAAAAAUAAAAAUUAGGGACAAGAAGACCCUAUGAAUUUUUUAUUAAAUUUUAUAUAAAGUUUUAUAAAAUUUAAUUUAAUUGGGGUGAUGGAAAAAGAAUAAAUAUCUUUUUUUUAAAGAAAAUUGGUUCCGUUUUUAGCGAUUAAAUGAAAAAAAUACUCUAGGGAUAACAGCGUAAUAAUUUUGGAUAGUUCAUAUAGAUAAAAUAGUUUGCGACCUCGAUGUUGGAUUAGGAUUCUUUUUUGGUGAAGAAGUUAAAAAAAGAAGUUUGUUCAACUUAUAAUUUCCUACUUGAUCUGAGUUCAGACCGG
rnacentral:rRNA from 1 species